rnacentral:rRNA from 1 species
GAUGAACGCUGGCGGCGUGCCUAAUACAUGCAAGUCGAGCGAACGGACGAGAAGCUUGCUUCUCUGAUGUUAGCGGCGGACGGGUGAGUAACAAGUGGAUAACCUACCUAUAAGACUGGGAUAACUUCGGGAAACCGGAGCUAAUAACGGAUAAUAUUUUGAACCGCAUGGUUCAAAAGUGAAAGACGGUCUUGCUGUCACUUAUAGAUGGGUCCGGGCUGCAUUAGCUAGUUGGUAAGGUAACGGCUUACCAAGGCAACGAUGCAUAGCCGACCUGAGGGGGUGAUCGGCCACACGGGAACGGAGACACGGUCCAGACUCCGACGGGAGGCAGCAGUAGGGAAUCUUACGCAAUGGGCGAAAGCCUGACGGAGCAACGCCGCGUGAGUGAUGAAGGUCUUCGGAUCGUAAAACUCUGUUAUUAGGGAAGAACAUAUGUGUAAGUAACUGUGCACAUCUUGACGGUACCUAAUCAGAAAGCCACGGCUAACUACGUG